rnacentral:rRNA from 1 species
GAGGAUGGCCCCGCGGUGCAUUAGCUAGUUGGUAAGUAAAGGCUUACCAAGGCGAUGAUGCAUAGCCGAGUUGAGAGACUGAUCGGCCACAUUGGGACUGAGACACGGCCCAAACUCCUACGGGAGGCAGCAGUAGGGAAUCUUCCACAAUGGACGCAAGUCUGAUGGAGCAACGCCGCGUGAGUGAAGAAGGCUUUCGGAUCGUAAAGCUCUGUUGUUGGUAAAGAAGGAUAGAGGUAGUAACUGGCCUUUAUUUGACGGUAAUCAACCAGAAAGUCACGGGCUAACUACGUGCCAGCAGCCGCGGUAAAU